rnacentral:rRNA from 3 species
UUGGAGGGCAAGUCUGGUGCCAGCAGCCGCGGUAAUUCCAGCUCCAAUAGCGUAUAUUAAAGUUGUUGCAGUUAAAAAGCUCGUAGUUGAACUUCGGGGUCUACCCAUUGGUCAGGCUUAAUUGUCUGCACUGGUGAGAUGGAUCUCUACCUUCUGAGGAACUUUCAUGCCAUUUAUUUGGUGUGAUGGGAAAUCAGGACUGUUACUUUGAAAAAAUUAGAGUGUUUAAAGCAGACUAUCGUCUGAAUACAUUAGCAUGGAAUAAUGAAAUAGGACGGACUGAUUCUAUUUCGUUGGUUUCUAGGAUCACCGUAAUGAUUAAUAGGGAUAGUUGGGGGCAUUAGUAUUCAAUUGUCAGAGGUGAAAUUCUUGGAUUUAUUGAAGACUAACUACUGCGAAAGCAUUUGCCAAGGAUGUUUUCAUUAAUCAAGAACGAAAGUUAGGGGAUCGAAGACGAUCAGAUACCGUCGUAGUCUUAACCAUAAACUAUGCCGACUAGGGAUCGGACGAAGUUAAUUUUAUAAUGACGCGUUCGGCGCCUUACGGGAAAC